GGCUGAAACUCUUAUCUCUGUGAAAGCCAGAGAGCAGAAGUCAACUAUCUGUUCUCACUCUGCAAAUGUAGACAAAGAUGUGUCCUGCCCUGAAGAUCUGGUGGGCUAAUUCAUAGCUCCAACAUGAAUGGUACAUAUGUUCAAGAUAAAAUUGUCAAGCUUGAUGUUGUGAGUCAUCUCAACCAACGCCUACAAGUGGAUUCUGGCUGCCAGAGGAAUUACUUCGCACUGUGACAAAG
rnacentral:lncRNA from 1 species